rnacentral:rRNA from 1 species
CGCGAAGAACCUUACCUGGUCUUGACAUCCACAGAACAUUCCAGAGAUGGGAUGGUGCCUUCGGRAACUGUGAGACAGGUGCUGCAUGGCUGUCGUCAGCUCGUGUUGUGAAAUGUUGGGUUAAGUCCCGCAACGAGCGCAACCCUUAUCCUUUGUUGCCAGNGGUCCGGCCGGGAACUCAAAGGAGACUGCCAGUGAUAAACUGGAGGAAGGUGGGGAUGACGUCAAGUCNUCAUGGCCCUUACNACCAGGGCUACACACGUGCUACAAUGGCGCAUACAAAGAGAAGCGACCUCGCGAGAGCAAGCGGACCUCAUAAAGUGCGUCGUAGUCCGGAUUGGAGUCUGCAACUCGACUCCAUGAAGUCGGAAUCGCUAGUAAUCGUGGAUCANAAUGCCACGGUGAAUACNUUCCCGGGUCUUGUACACACC